UACGUAGGGUGCAAGCGUUGUCCGGAAUUAUUGGGCGUAAAGAGCUCGUAGGCGGUUUGUCGCGUCUGCUGUGAAAACCCGAGGCUCAACCUCGGGCCUGCAGUGGGUACGGGCAGACUAGAGUGCGGUAGGGGAGAUUGGAAUUCCUGGUGUAGCGGUGGAAUGCGCAGAUAUCAGGAGGAACACCAAUGGCGAAGGCGGGUCUCUGGGCCGUUACUGACGCUGAGGAGCGAAAGCGUGGGGAGCGAACAGG
rnacentral:rRNA from 1 species